CAACAGCAAAUUAUUACUUCAAAGAUAUUAUCAGAAUUAAUGUUUAUAUCGACAGUUGGAAGGAUCAUGAAGAUGGUCGAAUCCGUGCAAUGGCUCUUUUAAUGGAAAGCAAAUUUAACAAGUAUUGGAGUUUGUGUGGUGUAUGUUUGACAAUUGGUUUAGUAUUGGAUCUACGAUACAAGAUGGACUUUGUAGAACUAGGAUAUGAAGAAAUUUAUGGCAAUUCAUAUUCUACAGAGCUGCUGAAAUUUCAAAACAAAUUGAAAGAGAUAUUUAAUUCAUAUCAGGUUGAGGUGGCCACUACUACAACUGAAGAGAAAGAAGGCAAUCCAACUUCAAAUGCUUUGAUUUGUACACUAGAUGAUGAUGAUGAUGAUGAUAAACUUAAUGAAAAAUGGUCGUCUAGGGCAGAAGAUCGUAGGAAAAUUGUAGGUAAUUCGCUUGAUGAAUUGGAGAAUUACUUGAAAGAAUCACUUCUGCAUGGAAGAGAAGAUGAUCCAACCUCAUUUGAUAUUUUAAAUUAUUGGAAUCACGACGGGUUGAAGUAUCCAACAUUACGAAAGAUGGCGAGAGAUAUCCUUGCUAUACCAGUUUCAACAAUUGCUUCAGAGAGCGCUUUUAGUUGGGGUCGAC
rnacentral:lncRNA from 1 species